CUCUCUCUCUCUCUCUCUUGCGGUAAUUCGACAGGGUAACGUUCGUAAAAGGCGUGCAAGUGACAGAAGAGCGGAAUCUCGGCUCUAGGGAAACGAACGAGUCGCGAUGAGUAGCAUCCUAAAAGUUGAGUGGCAGCCAUCUCAUUACUUAAAUGCGUCCGUUAGCAAGAGAGAGAGAGAGAGAGGAAGUUUCCACGGUCAUAAUCGCCGCUAAUUGACGUCGGAGUUAUAAAGUUCAGUGAAAUUAGCUAAAUCCGUAUUUGGACUCUCGUUAUUCCGACCCCCCUUCCUUCCUUUCUUCGCUUUGCCUCUUUCGUUCAAUCCUUCCUCCCUCCCCCCUCGAAUUAAUCGCCGGUUGUCUUUAUAUCGCUCGUGGCUUAAAAGAAGAAGUUUUUUUUUUCUCGUUGUCGAAGUUGCGGGAUUAAAUAUAUCGAAGGAGGAGGAGGAAUUGCGCAUCGUGUUUGAUGAAAAUUAAAGAAACGAAACGAUUAACGAUUAAUUGGAGGGGAAGUUUGGAGAAAAGUUUGGCGGAAGGUGAGAGAUAAAGGAAGGAAGAAACGAAUCGGUUGGAAAAACGUAAGAUAUUGAAUAAUUUGGCGAGUUUUCACGCAAUCCGUCCAUUGAAAGCGAAAAAAAAAAAGUUAGUUCUAACGAAACGAAAGUUAGGUGGCAUUAUUAUGACGACGGAUCAACAACAUGUCUGGCAUUCUCAUGUAAAGUGUCGCACCAUCGUAAUCAGUAUCAUCACUGUCACUCCUUAAUAUCCAUUUGCAUUCAUUUUAAAAUAUCCUUCACCUCGCUCGUCAUUGUGUUGUGAGUCCCAGUGUUGUGUGUUUGUAUAUUUGAAAGUAUAAAUACUCAACGUUUUUUUACUUGAACCGGGAAGAAACUCAUUUUCGUAACAAACAUCGUCGUGACAUUCUAAUCAUUACUCUCUUCGUCGGCUCCCCCUCUCUCUUUCUCUCUCAUUCGAUCCAUUUUUCUUUCAUUCUUCAUCUUCUCGUCUCUCUCCUCCCUCUCGGAACGUCCCAGAACGUCAUCUCCCUCUCAUCUUCUUCGUAUCCCUCUUCUCGAAUCCCAAAAGUGACGCGAUUCAUUAAAGAAAAAAAAAAAAAGAAAAAAAGAAAUCAUCCUUGAAAUUUCCGCGCGACGAGAGAGAAAUCAGAUUGUCAUUGUCAAAGACGGUCACGAAUCUUCAUCUUCAUUCAUCAAAAAAAGAAAAAAAAAAAAAAAAAAAAAAAAGAAAAA